UACGUAGGGCGCAAGCGUUGUCCGGAAUUAUUGGGCGUAAAGAGCUCGUAGGCGGCUUGUCACGUCGGGUGUGAAAUCCCCAGGCUUAACCUGGGAACUGCAUUCGAGACUGCAUUGCUAGAGUAUGGGAGAGGGAAGUGGAAUUUCCGGUGUAGCGGUGAAAUGCGUAGAUAUCGGAAGGAACAUCAGUGGCGAAAGCGACUUCCUGGACCAAUACUGACGCUCAUGUGCGAAAGCGUGGGGAGCAAACAGG
rnacentral:rRNA from 1 species